GGGAGUGCGCUCAGUCUGCACUUUGAAGCCUUUUUCGCCUUAGAUUUUGUGGCUCUAGGAGGCCUGAUAGAGGAGUGCCUCUGCUGAGAUCGGAGCCUUUGCUAUUUUUUUUUCUUUGAUUUUUUUUUUUUCCUCUCCAUUGCCUUCCUUUCCGCCCUCCCUCCUCUUGGUAGCACAUCGAGUCAGUGAAUCUGUUGCUGCGUAUGACAUCUCUUGCAAGCUCCCAGAGAGAAUUGAUGGCGCAUACAGCUAGGGAAUAGGAUACCAGAGAAGCACAGAGGAAGAAUCCAGGCAAUCACCAGGAUGGGAAGGUUCAGCGUCCACUGGAUAUGGGACAAGAUCGCUUGGCAACCCUUGUGGAUUCUCCUUCUUCUGGAGGCGAAUUAUAGUUAUGGAUUUAUUGUCCCGGUGCAGCACUUCCACCACCACUGGCUCCUCACCUCCUCUAGUUGCCAAGCCUCAGAGAUGUUUUUGUCUGUCUGUGUUCCUCACCCCUGGCCAUUCAUGCAAGCAGCCUUCCCUACCUGCACGCCGAGCUGCACUGCCUCGGGAAGAUACCAGCCUGUUACCCAGCUUAUCUGCAUGGUACUGCUUCACCUUGUUCCCUCUUCUCACUCUGAGGGAUUAGCAUCCAAAGAAAAACAAAUUAGUCUUGUAUCAAUUCACCCAGGAAAGCGAGUAGCUAAACCGACCAGAAGGUUCCUGCUGGCAGAACUGAGUGCAGAAGGAGGCUGGCAGGGUGUGUUCUUUGAGUGCUGCCCAGCUCCACCACGCUCUCUCAGAGGCCCACAGGGACACCAUGGGUCCUGCUAUGGGGAUCCAGACUCUCCUGUACCCACAGGAAGCCUCACUUGCUGGCUCCGUGCUCCACGUGGCAGUGCCAGUUAGGAUGUGUGUAAUACCUGCUUGGAUGUGUCUGUUGCUUUUCUCCAUAUGUCUUGUGGUCAUCUGAGAGCUGAUGAGGAACCAUUCUGUUUCCAUUCUGCUGAUGGAAAAGGAGAGGCUUUGAGAGGCUGAGUGAUUUGUCCAGGAUUAUGCAGCAGAUCAAUGGGAGAAAAGGGGAUCAGGCCAUUCCACACAGGAGUGCCUUUAGCUGUCCCAUGGGCUUUCUAGGGAAAGGCAUGCAGGUCCCCAAAGGGGCCGCCUCCAGCAGUGUUCCUCCAUUAUUUCUAUCAGAUUAUUGCUGUGAACAGUGGAGAAAUGCAAAAUGUAUUAUUCAUUUCUCCUACUUCUAAAAUCAAUAGCUAUCAAAAUACAAAUACAAUUUAAAUCAAAAGGCACUUAUUGAGUGCAGAUCCUACUAAUUAGGUAUGAUUUCCUAACAAUUUCUUAAAUUAUUUAUCCAAGGGAUGGGUGGAAAGCACUUUAUAUGUCCCAAAGUGAAUAUUAUAAACCUCUUGUGAUGAUACAGAAAAUGUGAAAUGUAGUGCAAUGCAGUGUGAUUUGUAACCUUGAUGAACUAAUGUAAUAUCAAUAGACAUCAAUCUGUGCAAAAAAAAAACUCUGUCUCAUCAUAACAUCUAACAAGAUAUGUCAAAAGUCAAUAACCUUGUGAAAUGGACACGUAACAGACUUUGCUGCUAGGAAUCAAUUAAAAAUGUAAUACCCACUUGCAAUGGAAAUUACUACACCACACCAAAAAGGAGGUUUGCAUCAUGCAUGGACAUUUGUCAUAAGGGCAGCUCCCUUCAGGCUGGCUGUUGGCUCUGUAAGCAAUUCCACUGUAAUAGAUGGCUUUUUUUUUUUCUUAUGCUGGUAUUGCUUAGUUUAGCCCCAUAAUCAACAUGCAAAAAUAUUUAUGUCAUAUCCAGUUAAAUAUAUUUUUAAAACCCAUACAGAAGAGCCAAUGGUUUUGAAGAUUUUUGUGUAAAAAUUAGAAAGCAGCUCUCCUGUUAAAUGAAAGAUUUACAAUUGUCAGUCAAUAAUGUAGAUCAAUGUUCUUCAAUUUUUAAUCAUAAGGAUUUUUCUCAACGAUUUUUCUUCUUUGGAUCCUAAUUUUCAAACUUAUACUCCCAUCCAUACAGCAGAUCUUAAGGUUCCACCACACCAACCAUGUGUCAAGUGAAAUUCUUGGUCCCAUCAUAUUGAUACCCACUCACCAAAUGCUUUCAAAUCAGUGAUUUGAAAUAAGAGUAUGAAAUAUUAUAUAUGUUUUCUCCUCAGUUUUUGAAAUUGAUUGAUAAAAUAUUCACUUUUUAGGCAUUUUACUUUACCAUUGUCCUCUGAUAAUAAUUUCAGGGCAAGUGUAACUUUGAGGCCAAAACUAAAUAUUUGAAUGGGGAGGGAGGUCCUAUGGCUUCAAAGACAGCAGCAUGUGAGAGGCUGAAGUAAAACUAUCAGAGUAAUUCAGGGCUUAAACUUUUAGCUUGGUGCUUUUUUCUGUAGCCUUAAUGGUGAUCAGCUCCCGGGAAAGCCAUCAUGAGCCCGAGCAAAAAGCUGUAGUGGUCCGAAGUGCCUGUGAGGUUCAGCUGCUGCAGGCAGCCCGCGAUCGCACGGCAGCUCGGCAGUGCUUCAGUGCAAUUGUGCAACCGGGGAUUCAAGGCAGAGCCAUAAUUCAGAAUUUCAUGGCAUUUUAAAGCACAAGUCAGAAUUUUAAUGGUAUUUCAACCUUCCUUAUUAGCUGCACAGUAAGUGUCUUUCAGCCAGUGUUCUGCAAAUUCCUUCCUGGUGGUCUGUAAAAGACACGGCUUGAAAUCAGAGCAUUGGAGGUGAAUGCCGGGUGUGUGGAAAUGGAUCUUGAAUUGGUGGGAGGAAUAAGGAAUUCUGAAAAAGCACUGCAAUAAGAUUGCAUGGGAUAAUAAGGGUAGUAGCAAAAAGUUUAAAUAAGUAUGACAUGAGUAAAUUGGAUAAUAAGAUAAAAUCAACUUCAGUUAUUCAGCUUGUAUUUUUGUUGGUUUUAAUUAAUGAAAGUUUGUCUGGCAGGUACGGAAACAAAGUUCAAUCUCAGAGUGUUUGCAUUAGAGCUCCUAGCUGCAUCAAGUGAAAACAGGCAAUACUGCAUUUGAUGUUUUGCAUUUUCUCAUUCUGUUUGAAUGUGAAUGAGCUAUCUGGAAGGAAUAUCCAACAUUGCAGAUACUGUUUAGUGAUAUAUUCUUCUUAUCUUCUUUUCUUCUGUCUAAUGCCUUUCAUACAUGCUUAAAAACUAUGUGGUUGUAUAUGUGAUUGUAUAUUAGUGACUGCAAAGGUUACCUAAAUUGAGACCAUGGACUAAUUUUAUUUUAAAUGCAGGGUAGAAGCACAUCUGUUUCAAACAGAUUUGUGAAAUGCCUUUUGUAAGUUCAAAUCACAUACAGUAAUGACCACUUGAGUAAGCUCCUACACACACAGUACUAACAAAUGCAUCUAUAAAAUGUCACUUGCAUUUUGGUGUUCUGAAGUAGGUUCGUCCUCUCCAUUGCCCUGGAAGAUUCAGCCCUCUGCUAUUGUGUAGAGGAUACUAAAGAAAAGGAUGUGUUCUUCCUCAUGGAGGAUGUGUUAUCUACUGCAUAACUGUACUUGAUAUAUAUUUUGUAUUUUGCCUGAGUCUCCCUUUGAGAGAGGCAUAAGAUUUUUCUGAGUUGUAACUAACGCUGUUUUCUAGCCAUGAAUUGUUAUAAUUAUAUAAGAUUAUGAAUAUAAGUGAGGUAAUAAAACCAAAACAAACAGUCUAGACUAUAUCUCUGGAUUGUAUUCAUAGGUGAGAAGUGUGUGGUUUUGCUGUAUAUCACAUUGAUUUCAGAGGGUAAAGUUUGGGUUUUUCCACAGAUGUCCUUUUCAAAGAUAAAGGUGUGUACAUCCUGCAGGUGUCUACAGUGGGCAAACUGAAAGCAAAAAAAUAGAAAUGUGUUCAUUCAACAAAUUUCUACUGUAAGUUAUUUUGCCUUAAACUGUGGAAGGAUCAAAGAAAAGCUUUGCAGAACAGCUUCUCCGUCAUGGAGCUGGGGUGGCAGAGGAUUGCAGCGGUGCUGCCUGGCCUCUGCUGAGGUGCAAUCUGUCCUGCACUUGUCUUGUGAAGCAGGAAAGUGCUGUUAUAUUUAAUUUUAAGAGAGAGAGAGCUAAGACAUGGACAGAAACCACGGGACUUGUCUGCACACCUAAGGGAACUCUGCAGAAGCUGAGGAGUUGAAGAAAGCUGUGUGGAGGCCACAGCUAAUAACCUAAACCAUUAGACCAUUCUCAUAAAAUCUGUGUUGCCAAGUCUGUUGCCACUGAAAUCUGAAAUCAAACAUUAGCAGCCAAGAACAUCAUGCUAAUUAAUUGCCUCAGGAGGACACAAUUUCCAAGAUCUAAUGAAAGAUGGAAAUCCAGCUCCCAUAUGUCCCAUUUGAUAGCCCAAGAAAACACGGACACAUGUUCAAAGAAACAGUGACAAAUGUCCAAGUACUUGUGUCUCAGCUGAAUAAAACUAAUCACCAGGCCCAGGGAUAGAAAUGGCUGCACAACAGAACCUAGCCUGAAAAGCCAGCCCAGGAUGUUGCUGACAAACCAUUUUCAUUCAGAAUGUUGAAGGCAGCUUCAGAUGGUGACAGCUGAGCACCACAGCCCCUCUGUUCUACCCACAGAACAGCAUUACUCCUGCCUUGCAUGCAGCUGCCUUGUCAUGGUGCUGGUUUAUUUUAAAAAAUAAUAAUUAGGAACAAAAAAAGUUAGCAUGUCACAUUCUUGACAAAAUACUGGGGAGAAGACAGAGGCAUCAGUGUAGUCACAGAUGUGUGCCAGGGCUGCCUUGCAGUGCUAUAAGCUUGUUGAACUUGACAUUCCUGCAGAUGGGAUGUUAGUGCCAGGAUGGCAGUGGUGCUUAGCCCCAGGGAAGCAGGGAGGGCUGACCCUGGCCAGCCUCAGCCCCCCCGGGAGAGGCAGGCCUGCCUGGCUGUGCAAGCAGAGCCCCGUUGUGAAUGGCAAUGCCCUAUCUCUGUGUGGCUCUGAGCUAUAUGGAAUUGUUCAGCCAGCUUAAAGACAUAAUGUUUCUUUUAAAUAUUUCUUGUUUGAAGGAUCCUUACAUGCAUGAGAAGGUCUGUACUAUGUAAAGACCACAUGCUAUUGUGGCUGCACUCACAGUCUGCCACAUUUCAGGAGUCGUUUCUGUGCACGGGAAGCUCCUGCUCUCACCUGCUUUGCUGGUGUGAGGUGUUUCACACAAUUCCAGGUUUGUUUGGAUAGAGUUGGAUGAUCAGCUUAUUGUAUCAGACCUGACCAUGAGGCUGCUUGCCACAGCCUGACUGCCAUGCUCAGGUAGGGAAUGUCUUGGUGCCCAGCGAGCAGACUGGGAAGCCCAGUGCAGACAGGGAAGGAACACAGCUAUAGAGCAGGGUUGUGACAGGCCUUGGUGUCUAAUCCAGGAUUUCCGAGUGACCCCUUAUCCACACAAACUUCAUUAGCAUUUGCUAAGUGGUCAAUCCUUGGAAGCAUACAAAAAAAUUUCACUUUCCUCUUUUACUUUUUACAUAUGAUUCAUGUGAAACUUCUAAUCUAAAAAGAGUAUCUUGACUCCCUGUUUAGUAAAAAUGGGCAUGAGGAAAGCAGGUGCAAAUUGCACAGCAAAUUUUCACUCUUAAGUAUUGAAGAAAAUAUAUUUUAUUCUGUCUAUCCUGAGGAGAUUAAAGGAAAAAAAAUAGGAGGGUCGAGGUAAGUAAUUGUAGAACACUAUCUAUUGUGUAUUUCCUCAAGAUCACUCCUGUUGUACAGAAUAGUGGCAUUUCUGAACUUCAGUAACUUCCACCACACAAAGGCACAGCAUUUUGACAGGACUCAGUAAAUUAUUUAAAAUCACAAGGGCCAUUAUGCAGACUGUGUGAUAAAGUUAGAGGUAGGGUAUUUUUCUGCAAUUGGUCUUCAAUUUCAUUCUAGAUUUUAGGUAACAUAAAGCUCAAAAGGAGUUCCUAGUGCUACUCUCCCAGAGAUGAGAUCAACACUUAUGACGACAUGUUUUGAUGGCACAGCUCAGAAAAUGGAAGGGAUUAUUAUUAUGGAAGGACCAGGGUGAUAAGUACUGUGUUAUAUAUUAAUAACUGUCAGUCAGACAAGCCAAGAAAGGUCAUAAUCCAUUAUAUUAUGUCAUAAAUGUUAUCAUAAACUGACAUCAGGAUGGGAAACUGGGAUUCUUGCGCUUUUUAAAGUGCUGCUGUUCUUAAAUGACACUGUCCUAGAAAGACAUGUUGAUAUUAAUUUUUCUUUCAAAAUAAAAGACUUUAAUGAUUUUCAGCAAA
ensembl:lncRNA